AGCGAACGCUGGCGGCAGGCUUAACACAUGCAAGUCGAGCGCCCCGCAAGGGGAGCGGCAGACGGGUGAGUAACACGUGGGAACGUGCCUUUUGGUUCGGAACAACCCAGGGAAACUUGGGCUAAUACCGGAUAAGCCCUUACGGGGAAAGAUUUAUCGCCAAAAGAUCGGCCCGCGUCUGAUUAGCUAGUUGGUGGGGUAAUGGCCCACCAAGGCUACGAUCAGUAGCUGGUCUGAGAGGAUGAUCAGCCACAUUGGGACUGAGACACGGCCCAAACUCCUACGGGAGGCAGCAGUGGGGAAUAUUGGACAAUGGGGGCAACCCUGAUCCAGCCAUGCCGCGUGAGUGAUGAAGGCCUUAGGGUUGUAAAGCUCUUUUAGCAGGGAAGAUAAUGACGGUACCUGCAGAAAAAGCCCCGGCUAACUUCGUGCCAGCCGCCGCCGUAAUAC
rnacentral:rRNA from 1 species